UUUUGUGUAUGUUGUAUUUUUGUUUUUUUUUGUUUUUGUUUUGGUCAAGUGUAUUUUUGUUUAGUUCCACAUUUUUUAUAUUUCCUCUUUCCCCAUCCAACGAUCCAAAACUAAUCCCCAAAACCAGAGGCCCAUUUGACCCAAGAUAAAAGAAAAACCAGCAGGUGGCAUAGUGUUCGUUCUGAUCAACGUUGAACUUAGGAGUUCGCUUUCUCACUCCUCUCAAAUGGGAGCUCACAAUUCGUUAUCUUUUGUCACCGUCGAUGUACUUUGGAGGGAAUUUGUGUGGGGAGCUAUUGUUGUGGCAUAUGGGGAAGGAAUGAUGCAUCCUGUUGAGACCAUAAAGACACGUAUUUGGAGCCAUGCUAAAGAUGUUGUAGAUGUAAUAUUCAUGGCUAAUGGGUGAAGCUCAAACGUUUGGUUUUGUUCUAUGAAGGCUUGGAAGAUUAGACACAGUAUGGGAAGCAAAUUACAAAAUCAAUAUUUCCAUAUUGAUAGUUCUAUUGAGGGACUCAUGCUUGGUGGAUUGGCUGGUGGUAUGCAUAUCUUGCCACUCCGUUAGAUGUGAUCAUGUGAUCAAAAUAAGAUUUCAACUGCAUGGUAAGACCUUGAGGUAUCAAUUCUGUUUUUUGGAUACUUUUAUCAUUAUUUUCAGACGAAUUUCAGUUGCCAGUGUAGGACUAAAUUUGCUGCAAGCAUCACAUGCUGUAUAUGUGAUGUUAGUGUACUUAAUGUCACCUGAACAAGGCUUGGCACUUGUAUGCAGUCAGCUGUUGGGCGUGUCAAUACUAAUCACAUAGGUGCACAGAGACAAACACUAGUUAUCCUUAUAAUUCAUUGAGGGGUUUUUCACAAUUCUAUAGCUGUUUUAUCAAUGUGCCAUUUUCCAAGUUAUUUCCUUCUUUCUGAUAUGGAACUCUUUUUGUUGCAUCCUGGAUUUCAUCUUCACGGUCUGCCCCCAUUAGUGCGUUAUACAAUAGUAGUGGUAGACUGAGAGUAAAUAGCUUCUUUUCAUUCAGUAUCUUAUGGUUGUAGCUAUUAUCUCCUGCAGUAUGAUGCAGCUAUUCUUCAUACUUCAUUUGCAAGGCUUUUGGGUCACCCCAAAGCAGCUUCUGCUGUAGUACAUCUAAAGACUCUUUGAGUACAAUUAGUAGCCGAUUCAUUGCUGUGUCACACAAAUUAUUUUAAUAUUGCAGUUGCAACCUAUUAGGUGAUCUGCGGGAAAUGUUAAUUCUUGAUCUUUCUUAUACUCUUCAAAGAAUCUAGGCUUGUUUUCCAAUUUCUUUUCAAUUUUCAUAUAUAGUAUAUGUAUGACUACUUUUCAUAUUUGAUGGAAUUUGACAAUCCUUGAUAAGGUCCAUAACAUUCAUCAAUUAGAGUUGAAGGAACGUGUCAGCUGUUGUGCACGUCCACACUGAUCACAUAGGUGCACAGAUAUUAACACUGUUUAUCCUUUAUAUAAUCAUCGAGGGGUUUUCUGCGAUUCUAUUCCUGUUUUAUCAAUGUGCCAUCUCCCACCAUUUUGAUUAAAUUUCAUCACCAGAUAACAUACUAUUUUAAAUCUUGGCAACAAAGUGGUCGGGCUAUAGUCAGAAAAUAAACUUCGGUAAUUUUGCAUUGACUUUUAUUUUAACCUAAUCCUAUAACAUGUUUACCAAGAUGGGGAAGGGAAUUUUUAGAGAGCAAUUUUCCCCUGGUAUAUUCGGCUUGGGCCUCACAUGCCUGUCUUGAAUUUUUCUGUGGAUCUAUUACUCAUUGGCUGAAAGUUAGAGGUGAUAGUUGUUUUUCAGUUUCUAUCAAAUGUUGUGAAAUUUAGGUAGGAAUGGCUGGUUGCAUGCAAUUUGUUGCAUAUAGAUGGCUGAUGAUGCAUAGGGGAUGUUCAGAGGUAGCAUUCCCAGGAUUGGAGGGUUUAGUCUAGCUUCAGCUCUUCCCUUCACAGCAAUUGAAUUUUCUCAGAGAGCAUUUCAAUGAAGGAUUGAGCAAUGACAACACGCAAGAAGUUGCUAGCAUGUCAGUGGAGGAAAUACUGGAGAAUUUUCAUGUAUUUGAAUUUGGACAAGACUUUUAAUAAUGUUUUCUUGUAAGUUGUAAUACGUUGAUAUUGAGGAGGAGGUUUUUUUGUAUUAUUUAUUUUUCUUUUGAGCUUCUCA